rnacentral:rRNA from 1 species
ACGGGGGAGGCAAGCGUUAUCCGGAAUUAUUGGGCGUAAAGCGUCCGUAGGUGGUUUGUCAAGUCAGUUGUUAAAGCGUGGAGCUUAACUCCAUAAGGGCAAUUGAAACUGACAGGCUAGAGUGCGAUAGGGGCAAGGGGAAUUCCCAGUGUAGCGGUGAAAUGCGUAGAUAUUGGGAAGAACAUCGGUGGCGGAAGCGCCUUGCUGGGUCUGCACUGACACUGAGGGACGAAAGCUAGGGGAGCGAAAGGGA